rnacentral:rRNA from 1 species
UACGGAGGUGGCAAGCGUUGUCCGGAUUUAUUGGGUUUAAAGGGUGCGUAGGUGGUCUUGUAAGUCAGUGGUGAAAUACGGCAGCUUAACUGUCGAGGUGCCAUUGAUACUGCAAGACUUGAGUACAGACGAGGUAGGCGGAAUUGACGGUGUAGCGGUGAAAUGCUUAGAUAUCGUCAAGAACACCGAUAGCGAAGGCAGCUUACUAGACUGUAACUGACACUGAGGCACGAAAGUGUGGGGAUCAAACAGG